rnacentral:rRNA from 1 species
GGGUUGUGAGGUUAAGCGACUAAGCGUACACGGUGGAUGCCCUGGCAGUCAGAGGCGAUGAAGGGCGUGCUAAUCUGCGAUAAGCGCCGGUAAGGUGAUAUGAACCGUUAUAACCGGCGAUACCCGAAUGGGGAAACCCAGUGUGACUCGUCACACUAUCAUUAACUGAAUCCAUAGGUUAAUGAGGCGAACCGGGGGAACUGAAACAUCUAAGUACCCCGAGGAAAAGAAAUCAACCGAGAUUCCCCCAGUAGCGGCGAGCGAACGGGGAGGAGCCCAGAGCCUGAAUCAGCAUGUGUGUUAGUGGAAGCGUCUGGAAAGGCGCGCGAUACAGGGUGACAGCCCCGUACACAAAAGCGCAUGUGCUGUGAGCUCGAUGAGUAGGGCGGGACACGUGGUAUCCUGUCUGAAUAUGGGGGGACCAUCCUCCAAGGCUAAAUACUCCUGACUGACCGAUAGUGAACCAGUACCGUGAGGGAAAGGCGAAAAGAACCCCGGCGAGGGGAGUGAAAAAGAACCUGAAACCGUGUACGUACAAGCAGUGGGAGCACCCUUUGGGUGUGACUGCGUACCUUUUGUAUAAUGGGUCAGCGACUUAUAUUCUGUAGCAAGGUUAACCGAAUAGGGGAGCCGGAGGGAAACCGAGUCUUAAUUGGGCGUUAAGUUGCAGGGUAUAGACCCGAAACCCGGUGAUCUAGCCAUGGGCAGGUUGAAGGUUGGGUAACACUAACUGGAGGACCGAACCGACUAAUGUUGAAAAAUUAGCGGAUGACCUGUGGCUGGGGGUGAAAGGCCAAUCAAACCGGGAGAUAGCUGGUUCUCCCCGAAAGCUAUUUAGGUAGCGCCUCGUGAAUUCAUCUCCGGGGGUAGAGCACUGUUUCGGCUAGGGGCCAUCCCGGCUUACCAACCCGAUGCAAACUGCGAAUACCGGAGAAUGUUAUCACGGGAGACACACGGCGGGUGCUAACGUCCGUCGUGAAGAGGGAAACAACCCAGACCGCCAGCUAAGGUCCCAAAGUCAUGGUUAAGUGGGAAACGAUGUGGGAAGGCCCAGACAGCCAGGAUGUUGGCUUAGAAGCAGCCAUCAUUUAAAGAAAGCGUAAUAGCUCACUGGUCGAGUCGGCCUGCGCGGAAGAUGUAACGGGGCUAAACCAUGCACCGAAGCUGCGGCAGCGACACUGUGUGUUGUUGGGUAGGGGAGCGUUCUGUAAGCCUGUGAAGGUGUGUCGUGAGGCAUGCUGGAGGUAUCAGAAGUGCGAAUGCUGACAUAAGUAACGAUAAAGCGGGUGAAAAGCCCGCUCGCCGGAAGACCAAGGGUUCCUGUCCAACGUUAAUCGGGGCAGGGUGAGUCGACCCCUAAGGCGAGGCCGAAAGGCGUAGUCGAUGGGAAACGGGUUAAUAUUCCCGUACUUGGUGUUACUGCGAAGGGGGGACGGAGAAGGCUAUGUUGGCCGGGCGACGGUUGUCCCGGUUUAAGCGUGUAGGUGUGUGUUCCAGGUAAAUCCGGUUCACUUUAACACUGAGGCGUGACGACGAGGCACUACGGUGCUGAAGCAACAAAUGCCCUGCUUCCAGGAAAAGCCUCUAAGCAUCAGGUAACAUCAAAUCGUACCCCAAACCGACACAGGUGGUCAGGUAGAGAAUACCAAGGCGCUUGAGAGAACUCGGGUGAAGGAACUAGGCAAAAUGGUGCCGUAACUUCGGGAGAAGGCACGCUGACACGUAGGUGAAGUGAUUUACUCAUGGAGCUGAAGUCAGUCGAAGAUACCAGCUGGCUGCAACUGUUUAUUAAAAACACAGCACUGUGCAAACACGAAAGUGGACGUAUACGGUGUGACGCCUGCCCGGUGCCGGAAGGUUAAUUGAUGGGGUCAGCGCAAGCGAAGCUCCUGAUCGAAGCCCCGGUAAACGGCGGCCGUAACUAUAACGGUCCUAAGGUAGCGAAAUUCCUUGUCGGGUAAGUUCCGACCUGCACGAAUGGCGUAAUGAUGGCCAGGCUGUCUCCACCCGAGACUCAGUGAAAUUGAACUCGCUGUGAAGAUGCAGUGUACCCGCGGCAAGACGGAAAGACCCCGUGAACCUUUACUAUAGCUUGACACUGAACAUUGAGCCUUGAUGUGUAGGAUAGGUGGGAGGCUUUGAAGUGUGGACGCCAGUCUGCAUGGAGCCGACCUUGAAAUACCACCCUUUAAUGUUUGAUGUUCUAACGUGGACCCGUUACCCGGGUUGCGGACAGUGUCUGGUGGGUAGUUUGACUGGGGCGGUCUCCUCCUAAAGAGUAACGGAGGAGCACGAAGGUUGGCUAAUCCUGGUCGGACAUCAGGAGGUUAGUGCAAUGGCAUAAGCCAGCUUGACUGCGAGCGUGACGGCGCGAGCAGGUGCGAAAGCAGGUCAUAGUGAUCCGGUGGUUCUGAAUGGAAGGGCCAUCGCUCAACGGAUAAAAGGUACUCCGGGGAUAACAGGCUGAUACCGCCCAAGAGUUCAUAUCGACGGCGGUGUUUGGCACCUCGAUGUCGGCUCAUCACAUCCUGGGGCUGAAGUAGGUCCCAAGGGUAUGGCUGUUCGCCAUUUAAAGUGGUACGCGAGCUGGGUUUAGAACGUCGUGAGACAGUUCGGUCCCUAUCUGCCGUGGGCGCUGGAGAACUGAGGGGGGCUGCUCCUAGUACGAGAGGACCGGAGUGGACGCAUCACUGGUGUUCGGGUUGUCAUGCCAAUGGCACUGCCCGGUAGCUAAAUGCGGAAGAGAUAAGUGCUGAAAGCAUCUAAGCACGAAACUUGCCCCGAGAUGAGUUCUCCCUGAGACUUAGAGUCUCCUGAAGGAACGUUGAAGACGACGACGUUGAUAGGCCGGGUGUGUAAGCGCAGCGAUGCGUUGAGCUAACCGGUACUAAUGAACCGUGAGGCUUAACCUUACAACGCCGAAG